rnacentral:rRNA from 1 species
CAGUCGCCGCGGGAAUACGUAGGGUGCAAGCGUUGUCCGGAAUCAUUGGGCGUAAAGCGCGCGUAGGUGGCCAUUUAAGUCCGCUGUGAAAGUCAAAGGCUCAACCUUUGAAAGCCGGUGGAUACUGGAUGGCUAGAGUACGGAAGAGGCGAGUGGAAUUCCUGGUGUAGCGGUGGAAUGCGCAGAUAUCAGGAGGAACACCAAUAGCGAAGGCAGCUCGCUGGGACGUUACUGACACUGAGGCGCGAAAGCGUGGGGAGCGAACAGGAUUAGAUACCCGAGUAGUCCCUGUCUCUUAUAC